rnacentral:rRNA from 1 species
GACAGAGGGUGCGAACGUUGUUCGGAAUUACUGGGCGUAAAGCGCGUGUAGGCGGCAGCGCAAGUCGGGCGUGAAAUCCCACGGCUCAACCGUGGAAGUGCACUCGAAACUGCGCAGCUAGAGUCCUGGAGAGGAAGGUGGAAUGCUUGGUGUAGAGGUGAAAUUCGUAGAUAUCGGGAGGAACACCAGUGGCGAAGGCGGCGAUCUGGACGGAUACUGACGCUGAGGUGCGAAAGCGUGGGGAGCAAACAGG